rnacentral:lncRNA from 1 species
GCUUCCUGAGCCUGAAUAAACCCAUUGUGAUCACAAUGACCUGUGUAAUUCAACUGAAUAAGAAUAAGCUUCACAAUGAGCUGCCUGCAUGUGCCCUGGGGAUCCCACCCCCAGCAAACCAACAGGUCCUUUUAAUGCUUCGAGACCUUCUCACCUGCCUCAGCACCUCCAAUGUCUCAGAUGCGGCAACUAUGUGAAAAGUGAAAAUUUUUAAAGUGAAGCUAUAUACAGUCCAUCCUUCAGAGACAGAGAACUGCUGGCAGAAGAAAGCUUUGGUGCUCUGUUCCCCACCAAAUCCAG